GUUGCGCGUUGAAUGGUCGCGGGGCACAGUCUUGUGUCCCGAGGAAAGUCCGAACACUACAUUGAAAUUCAUUUUUAAUGUGUAAGCGAUGGAUAACAUCCAUCGGCCCGGCAGUAAUGCCGGGCUAGGGAAAGUGCCACAGAGACGAUACUAGUUUGCGAAGCAAACUAACCCUGAAUAAGUUCGCCGAAGGCGAACGCAUUGAAGGGCAACCCUUCGACUGUGCUCAGGGUGGUUCUUCCGAACCAAAGGUGAAAAGUCUGCGAGUGUCUUUAUGUCCAUUUUGGGCUCUAUGGCUAUCGCAGUUCGCAAUAAAGUAAUUUAUUGCUGAUGGCAAACCCCGUUUGGUGCAAGGCCGUAUCCGCCUCAUAGGCGGAGGUGCCGCUUGAUUCCAUAAAGUAAUUUAUGGAACAGAUAAAUGACCAUCUAAAACAGAAUUCGGCUUACGGACGCGCAGCCGAA
rnacentral:RNase_P_RNA from 1 species